GGUAAGAGCUGGGGUGACAGGCAGUGUCUCUCACACAACAUCUUAUUGCCCUUCUUUGUUCCGCAGUUUGAACUAAACACCUGCCAAGAAGAGACGGUGUCCAGCUUCUGGAACAAGUGAUCGCUCUUAGAAUCAGGAUGAUAAUUCGCCUUGGACGUCUAACCCCUGGAUACUUCCGUCUAUUGCAGUUGCAGGUGUCUGGAGAGUUGGCAUCAGAGCCCAAGGACCGGCUAGUAAACCAUCUUGCUUUUAUCUUAGCCCUAAUGGGCCUUGGGCUAUCCUAUUACAGCGUUCGGCAAAUGGUCCAGAAGUCAAGCAUUUCACAAUGUCAUGCAUAUUCAAGGACUGAUUCUUUGAACCAGGCAAAAUCUAUGAAGAUUCACAGGAAUAGCUGAACAAAUGAUAUGGAGGGCAGGGAAAACCUAAUUCAGAGAAGUAUCCGUAGAGAUUGCUAGUUAAAUGGGUUAAAAAGACUAGGGAUGAUAUAACUGUCUUUUUCUACAUAUAGCCUGGUGUGCAACAACCAACAGUCAAAUUGGUAUCAGAAAGAGUUGCUGUACUCUUACAGCUUAAUAUAAAAUGUAAUAUAAAAACACUACGGUUUAAUUAGGCAAAGAUACCACUUACUACUUCAGGAAGAAAGCAUGGAGUCUUUUUUGUGAGAAACCGGAGAAAGCUAAAUACACAACAUUAUAUUAAAAAUCAUCAUUCUACAAAUCUUUUAAUUUGCAAAAUGAAAACAAUAAUACCUUCUAGAACUAAACAUACCAUUGGGGUUUAUCGAUCAACUAUCUCUUAGAGAAUGCACAUUAAGGGCCAACAGGUCAUUAGAAAACAAAUUAAUAGCAAUGGAAAUAUCUGGGACCUGGGGACUUUCUAAUAUCACUGUGAACACACCAGCCUUCAAGGGGUUGUUCACCUUUAAAUUAACAUUUACCAUGAUGUUUAGAUUGAUAUUCUGAAACAACUUGCAAUUGGAUUUCAUUCUAGUAUAACACACUAAAAGAUAACUAAUGAAAGGUGAACCACCCCUUUAAGACCAGUUCACAAAAUUGAGGACUACUCUUAAUAAAAACACCAUACUCUUAGCAAGAAAAGUGGCUUAAAGCAAACUAGGUCAGUGCACAAGUAGAAUGUUUUAUUGGCUGUGUAAUUUUGUUCUGUUUGUUUAUUCUGCUUUUGUUACUGAAGCAACUGCUGUUCUCACAGUCAGAUGCAUAUUACAGAACACCUUUAGCCUAUAGAAGAGAUCGUAUGUAAACUAUUUGUUAAAAAUAUAAUAAUGUGAACAAUGGGUUUGUAUUUAUGUCAUAGAUAUGUAGAACAAUUAUAUAGUUGGGCACUUUCUCAGUUUUGUAAUAUAUUUGUUUUUGAAGAGACAAAUGUAAUAAAUGAUGAGAUCAA